UACGUAGGGUGCAAGCGUUGUCCGGAUUUACUGGGCGUAAAGAGCGCGCAGGCGGUCGUCAAGUCGAGUGUGAAAGCCCCCGGCUCAACUGGGGAGGGUCACUCGAUACUGAUCGACUCGAAGGCAGGAGAGGGAAGUGGAAUUCCCGGUGUAGUGGUGAAAUGCGUAGAUAGUCGGGAGAACACCAGUGGCGAAGGCGACUUCCUGGCCUGUUCUUGACGCUGAGGCGCGAAAGCUAGGGGAGCAAACAGG
rnacentral:rRNA from 1 species